rnacentral:rRNA from 1 species
GUGGGGAAUCUUCCGCAAUGGACGAAAGUCUGACGGAGCAACGCCGCGUGAGUGAAGAAGGUUUUCGGAUCGUAAAGCUCUUUCGUUAGGGACGAACGUGCUCUUUGUGAAUAAUGAGGAGUAAUGACGGUACCUAAAUAAGAAGCCACGGCUAACUACGUGCCAGCAGCCGCGGUAAUACGUAGGUGGCAAGCGUUGUCCGGAAUUAUUGGGCGUAAAGCGCGCGCAGGCGGGAUAUCAAGUCUGUCUUAAAAGUGCGAGGCUCAACCUCGUGAGGGGACAGAAACUGGUAUUCUUGAGUGUCGGAGAGGAAAGUGGAAUUCCAAGUGUAGCGGUGAAAUGCGUAGAUAUUAGGAAGAACACCAGUGGCGAAGGCGACUUUCUGGACGAAAACUGACGCUGAGGCGCGAAAGCCAGGGGAGCGAACGGGAUUAGAAACCCGUGUAGUCC